rnacentral:rRNA from 1 species
UUGAUCNUGGCUCAGAACGAACGUUGGCGGCACGCUUAACACAUGCAAGUCGAACGAGAAACCCGAGCUUGCUCGGGUGGACAGUGGCAGACGGCUUAGUAACGCGUGGGUAUCUACCUAGAGGUUUGGAACAACUAUUGGAAACGAUAGCUAAUACCAGAUAUUCCCUAAGGGGGAAAGAUUUAUCGCCUUUAGAUGAGCCCGCGUCGGAUUAGCUUGUUGGUAGGGUAAAGGCCUACCAAGGCAACGAUCCGUAGCUGGUCUGAGAGGAUGAUCAGCAAGAUUGGGACUGAGACACGGCCCAGACUCCUACGGGAGGCAGCAGUGGGGAAUAUUGCGCAAUGGGGGAAACCCUGACGCAGCGAUGCCGCGUGAGUGAAGAAGGCCUUAGGGUUGUAAAACUCUUUCACCGGUGAAGAUAAUGACGGUAGCCGGAGAAGAAGCCCCGGCUAACUCCGUGC